CUAUUUAACAUCGGACAGUUCAAUUUUUAUUUUGAUGGAGUUGCGGGAUGUAAAUGAAGAACAAAAAAGGAGUAAUGAUAAGGAAUUUUAACUUCGUGUGACGGACAUAUUGCAAUCUGCGACAGAGAGGAUCUCGAACCACACUUCUUGCCUCUAGAAAAUAUGCAAACUAGGUUUUUGAGUCUACGGUUGAUCGCGGGAUAUGGGCCUACCGAUCAUAAGGUGUUUUGGAGCUGGAAUUUUGGUAAUAAAAAGGAUCCAGCCACACGAUCUUCAGAUGCGUCAAGCAUUGGAACAAUGUUUACGGAGCAGAACAGGCACCAACAGAGAAACAAGUCCAUCACUAGUAAGUAUGAACUGCAGCAUUAUUAAACCAUAGUGAAUUUUAAAGACACAAUGCACUCAAAAAUAAAAAUUAUCUCUCUUUUUCUCCCUCAUGCCAUCCGACAUGUAUAUCUGAC